GUAUUUGAUAUUAAAGGCACUAAAGGCCUAUUAAUGACAUUCUAUUACAUUCAUUGGGGUAUAAUUAAAGACAUAGACCUGGAAAUGUAAGGAGAGCCGGCUUGCGCAACAGCAAUCCUCAAACCGAGUUUACUUGAGAGGUAUCCAGGUCUAAAAGACCGGAAAUGUAAGGAGAGCCGGCUUGCGCAACAGCAAUCCUCAAACCAAGUUUACUCGAGAGGUAUCCAGAUCUACAAAAGGUGCACAGGUGGUAAAAAUUGAGCCAGGUGUGCACAUGCUCCAAGGAGCCAGCAACAACCUAACCAAGUUUAUUCAAUAAUGAUCCUUCCGCAGGUUCACCUACGGAAA
rnacentral:misc_RNA from 1 species